rnacentral:rRNA from 1 species
UACGUAGGUGGCAAGCGUUGUCCGGAUUUACUGGGCGUAAAGGGCGUGCAGGCGGUUUGUUAAGUGCAGGGUGAAAAGCUCCCGGCUCAACUGGGAGAGGUCCUUGCAUACUGGCAAACUCGAGGGAGGCAGAGGAAAGUGGAAUUCCCGGUGUAGUGGUGAUAUGCGUAGAUAUCGGGAGGAACACUGUGGCGAAGGCGGCUUUCUGGGC